UACGGGGGGAGCAAGCGUUGUUCGGAUUUACUGGGCGUAAAGGGCGCGUAGGCGGCCUGUUAAGUCGAACGUGAAAUCCCCGGGCUCAACCCGGGAACUGCGUCCGAUACUGGCAGGCUUGAAUCCGGGAGAGGGAUGCGGAAUUCCAGGUGUAGCGGUGAAAUGCGUAGAUAUCUGGAGGAACACCGGUGGCGAAGGCGGCAUCCUGGACCGGCAUUGACGCUGAGGCGCGAAAGCCAGGGGAGCAACAGG
rnacentral:rRNA from 1 species